CAUUAAAGAAUCAUAAAAAAUAGUAUAGAAAUUUAAUAAUAUACUAAAAUAUAAAUCUUAAUAAAAUAUAAAAAUAAAAAUCUUAAUUAAAUCUUAAUCAAAAUCUAAUCAAAUUCUAAUCAAAUCCUAGUCAAAUCAUAACUAAAACCUAAUCAAAUUCCAAUCAAAUCCUAGUCAAAUCAUAACUAAAUCCUAAUCAAAUCCUAAUUAAAUUCUAAUCAAACUCUAAAUAAAUCCUAACCAAAUCUUAAAUAAACCAUAAUCAAAUCCUAGUCAAAUCUUAAACAAAUCUUAAAUAAAUCUUAAAUAAAUCCUAAUAAAAUUCUAAUCAAAUACUAAUAAAAUCUUUAAAAAAAUCCUAAACAAAUUCUAAAUAAAUCCUAAUCAAAUCCUAACCAAAUCCUAACCAAAUUCUAAAUAAAUCAUAAAAAAUCCUAAAUAAAUUCUAAACAAAUCAUAAAUAAAUCCUAAAUAAAUUCUAAUCAAAUUCCAAAUAAAUUCUAAUCAAAUCAUAUACAAAUUUUAACUAAAUCCUAAAUAAAUCCUAGUAAAAUCCUAAAAAAAUCCUAACAAAAUCCUAAACAAAUUCUAAACAAAUCCUAAACAAAUUCUAAACAAAUCCUAAACAAAUCCUAAUAAAAUCCUAACCAAAUCCUAAAAAAAUUCUAAUGAAAUCCUUAAAAAAUCCUAAAAAAAUCCUAAUCAAAUCCUAAACAAAUCAUAAUCAAAUCCUAAAUAAAUUCUAAUCAAAUCUUAAUCAAAUGAUAAUCAAAUCCUAAUCAAAUCCUAAUCAAAUCUUGACUUUCCAAAGCUCUUACAAAGUCA
rnacentral:lncRNA from 1 species